AUGCAGCUGUCCCAUGGGCACAGGGCCCAGGACUGGCAGUUAACAGCCGCCCUUGCACCACAUGGGGAGCUCCCUCCACUCCUCCCCCCACUCCUCAGCGGCGGCGGCGUCCAUAGCCCAGGUGCCAAGAGGGCACCGGGCGCCCAGGCCAGGCUGCGGGAGGGAGGUGAGCUCCUUUCCUACCCUCUCUCCCUCUUCCCUCAACCUGUUAGGCCCUCAGAGGCAUCGUUCCCCCCCCCACCCCGGACCUCCAUUGAAAUCCUCACUCCCAGGCACAGGACUCCCCAGCACAGGGCUGUAUUUGGAACCUUGGAACCGGAGCCGUUAAAGAGGUGAUUAAGUUAAAAUGAAGUCAUUAGGGUGGCCCUAAUCCAACAGGACUAAUGUCCUUAUAAGAGGAGAUGAGGACACAGAUGCAGGCAUAGGAGAGAGCAUGUGAGGACACGCGGAGAAAAAGGCCAGGAACCAGCCAAGGAGAGGCCUCUGGAGAAACCCCUGCUGCUGACACCUUGAUCUUGGACCCUGGCCUCUGGGACCCUGAGGAGAUAAAUUCCUGUUGUUUAAGCCACCUGGCUGUGCUCCUCGGAUGUGGCAGUCCUAGCAAAGCCGGUCCACCAGCCUGCGGGCCGAAUGCAGGCACUCUCAGGGCUUUAGGAGCGCCCCUUUUUACCUCCCAGUUUGCACAGCCUAGGCAGGUACAGUGCAGGAGACGUCCCGCUCUUCAGACUGCAGUGAUAGACUCUACUAAACCCAAGCAUGUGCAGUGCCCCCCCACCGCACCUCCCCCCAAAAAGCUUACACAGGGCCACCAAUCCUGUCUUCUCCCUCUUGGCUCCCCCUUCUCCCUCCCACAGACAAGUCCCCAGAGGGUUGGAAGGAUUUUGAGAUGUUGCAUAACCUGGCUUGGAGGAGCCCAUGGAGCUUUUGCUGAAUCUGGCUUCACGUGAUGCUAACAGAUUGUGAACUAUACAUGUGCCAGUUUCCCCCUCUGCCAGACCAUUUUUAAGUUACGUGUGCACAGAAUGGCAUUUAAAGGCCUUACAUUUCUCUCAAAGGAAAGAAAAGAAUGAAAAAUAGCCCACGAGGCUCACAAAAUGUGAGCCAGAGCAGCUGAUGCAAAGUUUGGGGUGGGUUUUGUUUGGUUUUUGUUGGGGGGGCAGGGCUUUGCUCCUGGGUUUUGUUGUUUGCUUUGGGCCUGAAAGAAGGGAGCAGGGAAGAGAAGAGAACCAGGUUACAGGCAAGGAUUCAAGAAAGUCAUUUCUGAACUAGACAGGGAGGGCUCAGGCCUCCUGGAGGCCAACAAGGGUGAGCAAGUUUCCAGGGUCCCCUGAGCAAG
rnacentral:lncRNA from 1 species